ensembl:misc_RNA
AGAGCUUUGGACAAGUCUACAGACCAGUGCAUUUGAAAUUCUCUCCGCACCAGGGCUGAGUGUAGCUGGGAGGACAUUUUACUCAUCUGGGCUCUCCCUUCCCACAGUCAGCUGGUCCCUCUGCUCAGGUGUAGAUCACCUAUUAGAAUUUCACCAAAUUUUGAUAGUCUGCUGAGGAAAGUCCCAGGAUUUAGCAGCUGGGAUAGGCCUCACUCAAAGACAGCUCU